CUGCCGAAAUAGAGAAAGAGCUGCUGCAUCAGGUAUUCAGUAUUCAGAUACAACGUGAGAGUGCAGGUUUUGUUCUUGAAAGAUUUAUUGUUAUGCCUUGGAAAGACGAUGUAUUGUUUAACAGUUAUAGGCUGGCUAAGCAGGAUAAUGAUAACGCUCUACUUUAAAGCUAAACUAUAGUAUUGCGCUUUAUUGGUAAACCCUCCCGGAAAUAAAAUCUUCCGUUAAAACGAAGAAGUUCCGCUAGUCAGUCCCAAGAACAUCGUUAUGCACAGCUCGUUAGGGUCGCACUAGGGGAAUAAUUCGUACAGCGCCUGCUCGUACAAGUUCGGGCCACUGCACUCACACACACUAAGUGACGUGUAGCGCAGCGCUGAGCUCACACGCAGUCUAACACGUAAAGACACGUCGAAGUUCCAACGUCUGCACCAGUACAGCUGAUGUUCCGAGUAGGAGCGAUAAAACUUACUACAGUAAUCUCUCUGCAAACACUGCACAAGUGAAGGACCUUGUGGGAUUCAACGCUUGGGAUUCAACGUAGGAGCUCCUUUUAUUCGUGAUGAUUUCAUUAUUAUGAAAGGUAACUGGGACUACAAGAACUCAACAUGAAGGAGCUCCUUGUAGCUGAUUUCUUCAAACAGCGCCUCAAAGGUGCUAUUCCGUCAGCGGAGCUCCGCACAGGCUUUUUCGAUCUGCAUUACGGAUUAAAAAAUGAAAAAAACAGUGCACAUAAACCACCAACACGAACUGGACAAUUAAGUUAAAAAAGAAAACUGGGUCGCAACAAAAACUCCAACAAAAUUUAAUUGUUUUUAUUAAUAAACAAUUUUGCAAGAAAUGUUUGGCAUUUGGUGCUUUUAAAAUGCCGUGCCAUUUGGCUAUUAAUUUCCCCAUUGGAUAGUAUUGAGCCAAUUAGCGUCUUUGUUAUGAUCACGCCUAGUGGUUUUGCGCAAAUACGGUUGGGUGAAACCUGGCCACUCACAGAGCGGAUAGAUGCUCGACGGGCCAAUGCGAGAGCGGACAUACUAACGUGCUCCGUUGAUAUGUGGAGUCAUAUCAACGCAACACGCUACGAUCUCACUUUUUCCGGGAGGGAAACGAAUCAGAAUACCAAUCAACACUAGUGUUUUCGUGUUUUCAUAACUCUGAGCUGUACACAUCGUGUGGCUUCUUUCAUGGCUUGUCGCUAACAUUCCUUUACUCUUCAAGCAUGCCUCAAUAUUUUAAUUUUGCC